UCGUUGAAAAAAUUUGGGUAA
rnacentral:piRNA from 1 species